rnacentral:rRNA from 1 species
CGUAUCACUUAAAGCGAUUCAGCGGGUUACGAUUGACGGAGCGAAGCGACGUCAAAGCGUAUACAAAGUCGAGUCGGUUUAAGGAUACGUUCGUUGGGUAGGGGAGCGUUCUGUAAGCCUGUGAAGGUGGCCUGUGAGGGUUGCUGGAGGUAUCAGAAGUGCGAAUGCUGACAUAAGUAACGAUAAAGCGGGUGAAAAGCCCGCUCGCCGGAAGACCAAGGGUUCCUGUCCAACGUUAAUCGGGGCAGGGUGAGUCGACCCCUAAGGCGAGGCCGAAAGGCGUAGUCGAUGGGAAACGGGUUAAUAUUCCCGUACUUGGUGUUACUGCGAAGGGGGGACGGAGAAGGCUAUGUUGGCCGGGCGACGGUUGUCCCGGUUUAAGCGUGUAGGCUGGUUUUCCAGGCAAAUCCGGAAAAUCAAGGCUGAGGCGUGACGACGAGGCACUACGGUGCUGAAGCAACAAAUGCCCUGCUUCCAGGAAAAGCCUCUAAGCAUCAGGUAACAUCAAAUCGUACCCCAAACCGACACAGGUGGUCAGGUAGAGAAUACCAAGGCGCUUGAGAGAACUCGGGUGAAGGAACUAGGCAAAAUGGUGCCGUAACUUCGGGAGAAGGCACGCUGACAUGUAGGUGAAGUGAUUUACUCAUGGAGCUGAAGUCAGUCGAAGAUACCAGCUGGCUGCAACUGUUUAUUAAAAACACAGCACUGUGCAAACACGAAAGUGGACGUAUACGGUGUGACGCCUGCCCGGUGCCGGAAGGUUAAUUGAUGGGGUCAGCGCAAGCGAAGCUCCUGAUCGAAGCCCCGGUAAACGGCGGCCGUAACUAUAACGGUCCUAAGGUAGCGAAAUUCCUUGUCGGGUAAGUUCCGACCUGCACGAAUGGCGUAAUGAUGGCCAGGCUGUCUCCACCCGAGACUCAGUGAAAUUGAACUCGCUGUGAAGAUGCAGUGUACCCGCGGCAAGACGGAAAGACCCCGUGAACCUUUACUAUAGCUUGACACUGAACAUUGAGCCUUGAUGUGUAGGAUAGGUGGGAGGCUUUGAAGUGUGGACGCCAGUCUGCAUGGAGCCGACCUUGAAAUACCACCCUUUAAUGUUUGAUGUUCUAACGUGGACCCGUGAUCCGGGUUGCGGACAGUGUCUGGUGGGUAGUUUGACUGGGGCGGUCUCCUCCUAAAGAGUAACGGAGGAGCACGAAGGUUGGCUAAUCCUGGUCGGACAUCAGGAGGUUAGUGCAAUGGCAUAAGCCAGCUUGACUGCGAGCGUGACGGCGCGAGCAGGUGCGAAAGCAGGUCAUAGUGAUCCGGUGGUUCUGAAUGGAAGGGCCAUCGCUCAACGGAUAAAAGGUACUCCGGGGAUAACAGGCUGAUACCGCCCAAGAGUUCAUAUCGACGGCGGUGUUUGGCACCUCGAUGUCGGCUCAUCACAUCCUGGGGCUGAAGUAGGUCCCAAGGGUAUGGCUGUUCGCCAUUUAAAGUGGUACGCGAGCUGGGUUUAGAACGUCGUGAGACAGUUCGGUCCCUAUCUGCCGUGGGCGCUGGAGAACUGAGGGGGGCUGCUCCUAGUACGAGAGGACCGGAGUGGACGCAUCACUGGUGUUCGGGUUGUCAUGCCAAUGGCACUGCCCGGUAGCUAAAUGCGGAAGAGAUAAGUGCUGAAAGCAUCUAAGCACGAAACUUGCCCCGA